UAACGUGUUUGGGGAGAGGCGCACAUGUUGCGUCGCCGAAGGUGCAAUUCCCUCCCCCGGAAACUCUCAGGCCGACACACUCAAACACGAAG
rnacentral:ncRNA from 2 species